AGAGUUUGAUCCUGGCUCAGAAUCAACGCUGGCGGCAUGCCUAACACAUGCAAGUCGAACGCGGUUUCCUCGCAAGGGGAAACUGAGUGGCGAACGGGUGAGUAACGCGUGGGUGACCUACCUCCGAGUGGGGGAUAACGUCCCGAAAGGGACGCUAAUACCGCAUGACAUCCUGCCCUUGAACGGGUGGAGAUCAAAGCUGGGGAUCGCAAGACCCGGCGCUUGAAGAGGGGCCCGCGUCCGAUUGGCUAGUUGGUGAGGUAACGGCUCACCAAGGCGACGAUCGGUAUCCGGCCUGAGAGGGCGGACGGACACACUGGGACUGAGACACGGCCCAGACUCCUACGGGAGGCAGCAGUGGGGAGUUGUUCACAAUGGGCGCAAGCCUGAUGACGCAAUGCCGCGUGGAGGAUGAAGGUCUUCGGAUUGUAAACUCCUGUUGCCAGGGGCGAAUGGCUCCGACCUAACACGUCGGAGAAUGACGGUACCUGGUGAGGAAGCCCCGGCUAACUCUGUGCCAGCCGCCGCGGUAAUAC
rnacentral:rRNA from 1 species